CCCGGCUGCCAGGCACUCUGGCCUUGUUUGACUCUCACAGACAGGCUGACACCUCGGAGGUGGGUGGACUGCUCUGGUCAUGCCAUUCCACAGAGGGACAGACUGAGGCUCAGAGAGGUGCAGGCAAUUGCUUAAGGUUGCACAGUUGGGCAGGAGCAGAGCUGAGUGGCACACAGGCGCACCCCAUGCCACACUCACUGCCUCUUUGCUGGGCAUUUGUCAUGGGAAGCAGAGUUGAGCGGCACACAGGCCCAUCCCCAUGCCACACUCACUGCCUCUUUGCUGGGCGUUUGUCAUGGAGAGCCCCAGAUCCUGUGGAUGAGACCUUAUUUGGAAAAGCCAUCUCUGCAGCUGCUGUAAAGUGAAGGAUUUUGAGGUCCUGGCCCACCUUGCCCCUUGCGCUUCUGCACCGGUGCCCCUUGAGAGGGCGAGUUGGGGAAAAGAAAGGCUUACUUUUGAGUAAAUUGGUGGCAGACCCCUCUCAGCGAACUUCGGCCUACUUGCUUUUGAAAAAUGACUGCGUGUUAUUAUGUUUUGCAAGACAUCAAAGGACGUGGAAAAUCCAUUAUAAAUACCAGGGGUUCUCGCGUUCACCAGUAAAGGCGAGCAGCUGAUGGGUCAGAAGGAGGAGGCAAAGGGAAAUGAAAUGCUCCAAGCCCUCUCAAGGCAGAGAUUGGCAUCUUCCUGCAUCGAAGAGGCACUGAUGGGCGGGUGAGGCCUGCGGGAGGAAACA